AAAAUAUAUAUUUUUAGACAUUGGAUCCUCUUUUUCUUAAAUAAAAAAAAGCAACAAAUAAGUGAAUAAAACAAAAAGAAAAAUAAAAGAAAUGGAGACUCCAACGUCUCUCUCUUACACGCGUCCUCCCUAUAUACUAGCCACUAUCACUCUCCACAAUCCACUCACAAAAGCAAAUCUCUCUCAGAUUCCCUCUCCAACGACUCAGUAAAACAAAACUCUCCACGCUCUCAGAUUCCCUCACUUCACUCUCAGAAAAAUCCUCCGCCUCCGCUCAACAUCCAUCUUCAUCACCCUCCGUCUCCUUCGUCCUCCUCCAUUAACCUUCACAAACCCAUACGACACCAUCGUCCUUCAAAUCGCCUACCAACCACCGUCAAACCCAUCUUCGACCUCUUCAAAACCCUAAACCGCCGCUCACUUUGAAUCUCCGCCAUCCAACCACCAACAACUUCGACCUUCAAAACUCCUUCAGCUUUCUUACGCUUAGGCUCACGCUACCGAUCCUUCACCGCCGCCCUCGCCGCAACAAACCCAUCACCAUAACUCCGCUCAACACCUCCAUCAAACCCCCUCGCACAACCCUCACUACGACUUUGCCGAUUCACACCAUCCCUCGACCAAAUCGACAUUGACGAGAGUCGCCGUUCAAAUCGCGACCAACUAANA
rnacentral:lncRNA from 1 species